UUAUCAAUUAUGUAUGUCAUAUUCAGUUUGCUGUCAUGUAAAAGCUUGUCAUGAUUCUUUUUCUCUUUUUCGUUAGUGUAUUUUCUCAGACUGUUUUCGGGCAGGAGAUAUCGGACAAGGAUACAUUGCUGGCAGUUUUAAAUGAAUUAGAUAUUCUAAAAAAGCUCGCUGCGUGAAUAUAGCAUCAAGCUGAGGCAGUUAGACGAUCUGAAAGUUCGUACGCUUGCACUUGAAAAUAAAGUGGUGGAAUUAAAACGAGAAAAUAAAGAAUUGAACAGAAAAGUGCAUCAACUUGAAAGUAAAUGUGCGGAGCAUGCACCACAGGCGGGUGAAAAUUCAGAAUAUUCAGAAGUUUCCGUUCACAAAAUGCACCAAAGCAACAUGACGCUAAUACCGGCAAUUGAUGUGAAAAUGUCAUCAACUCAGCAUGCACGUCAACGAAUUCGUAGAUCAAGCCAGGUCUCCUCUCAGCCGCAGGUAGCAUUUACAGCUGUGGAGUAUCAAUUCAGAACCUAGUCAAUCUUGGCAGCCAGCACAUUAUUAUAUUCGAUAAAGCAAUCACAAACAUUGGUAAUGCGUACCACCCGCACACUGGCAUCUUCAUUGCUCCAGUCAAGGGCGCUUACGUAUUCACGCUUACUAUGACAGUACAGCCUGGCCAUAUUCAAUCUCUGGAUUUGACUGUUGAUGGUGUUUACAUUAAUUACAUAUCUGCCGGUCCAGCAGCCUCACAUGACUACGCUUCUACAACGAAACAAUGGAUUCUAGAACUCAAUAACAGUUCUGAAGUGUGGGUCCGGACUCAAACUACUGCAAGUAACAAUCGAGAACUGCACGGAAAUAUGAAUACUCUCGUGUCUGGUUUUCUUUUAUUUCAAACCGAGUAAAAACAAAAUACCUGCGGUAUUGCACAAAAUAGCACCUGAGGCCAACAUCUACGUACAAUGUGUUUUUUAAUUUACAUUCCUUUUUUCUUGUGUGGGUACAUGUAUUUCUAUUGAAUACUAAAUUAUAUAUUUCUUACGUUCAAUAACUUCCUUGCUGAAAGAGACGAUCCAUUAGAGAAAAUCAAGUGAUAGCAUAUAAAUGAAAUGCCGGACAUUUUGUACGCUCUCUAAAUGUUUUAACCUUGUUUCACUCCGUAAAUAUUCUUGUAUUUGGUAUCACUUUUUUCUUAAUGCAAGAUACACUUAUUUUCGUAAAUUCAUUAAUUAAUUUUGAUACUAAUUUCCAUUUGAUGAUGUUUAGUCUGUUGAAGAGGCCAGUUAUCAUGUUUGUAUGCUUACGAAUUUGUAUGCUUCUGUGGCCAGCAAGACAAUAGAUAACCUCAAGACGAGUAAAGAAGGAAAUUUGCGUUGUCCCUGUUUCCACCAGUUUCUUCGUCUGUUUAUCCACCCGUUCAUCCGAAGCCAUAUAGCUGUUAUGACGGCCGCAUUGAGUUAAUAUAAGAUAUUAGUGUUUGGCUGUUUGCAUUCAACAUAGCUUCUUUCCUGCAAGUGUUGUGAAUUUCAUCUCAUUAUAUGAUCAAACUUGUGACUCCUAAUUUCUUAAGAAAUUAUCAUAUACUAAUAUGUAUGUAAAAAUUGUUUUAAUAUCGGAAUUAUUCCCUGAGGAAAGCAUUUAGUCGAAACUUCGAAAUACCAGUAAACUGUAAUUCGACUGCGUGUUUGGUUUUUAUGCACUGCAUUACUGAUAUAUAUGGUAUAUAAACUUUACUUCGCUUGGUUGGUUUCCAAAAGAGCCUUUAUAUUCUCCAGUCAAUGGGUUUUAAUUGACCUAUUUACCAGACAGUUUUUGCUACUAAAUGAAAUAACUUUGAUCUCAUUUGUUAGAUGUUCUUUCAUUUCUUUGUAAAUGACGUCUCUUCUCUAGUAUAUGUUUUCCAAAAUAUACAGUCGUAUUAGUACUACUUGGAGAUCAUGUUAUUUUCUAAAUGUAGUCAAAACGUACGUGUACAGUAUGGUGAUAGCACUUGAAUUAAACUAACAUGUCUGUGUGUUAUUGUGGUCCUGAAAGCAUAGGUAGGUACAGAUAUUGUUCCCAUAACAUUAAUGUACAUGAAAAGUGUUUAAAAUUAAGAAUAAAUAUGUAGUGAAGGCCAAUGCAAACAUUAAGAAUAAAUUCACACGUUCCACAGCACAGAGAUAAUUCAAUUCUCUCCUGACACUCAAUGUCUUGUCGGUUUUGCACAUUUAAAUAUAUGCCUUUUGAACUGUUUAUUUUCAGGAAUUUGCGACAAUGCCGCUAUAUGUCUUUUAAGUUAAUUGAUAAAAAUGGUUAUUAAAAGUGUUUUGCCUUUUUAAGGCAAACAGUGUUCAAGUUUGCAUUAUUUGAUAUUUUCGCAAGCUAAUGGCGAGUUUCAUGUUGCUAGGCAACUAAAGAACAUACUGAUUGUGGGCAUAGAAGUGCAUUUUCCUAUGUUUGCUUCGGAAUAUUGCUGAUUCUAACAGUCAACUCUCUAAAUCAACAUCUUGUGUAAACUUUCGAGAAAAUUGUGUCAGUCAGUCUAGACACAGGUGUUGUCAAAAGCGUCCUAUUAUUUCCUUAGAAAUGGCUCAAAUUAAAAAUUUUGAGAAUA